rnacentral:rRNA from 1 species
AUGACGUCAAAUCAUCAUGCCCCUUAUGACCUGGGCUACACACGUGCUACAAUGGUUGGUACAACGAGUUGCGAGUCGGUGACGGCGAGCUAAUCUCUUAAAGCCAAUCUCAGUUCGGAUUGUAGGCUGCAACUCGCCUACAUGAAGUCGGAAUCGCUAGUAAUCGCGGAUCAGCACGCCGCGGUCGAAUAACGUUCCCGGGCCGUU